AUGAACGCUGACAGAAUGCUUAACACAUGCAAGUCUUUGGCGAAGCUGUGCUUGCACCGCCUAGCCAAGGCGGACGGGUGAGUAACGCGUAAGGAACUUGCCCUGCAGUCAGGGAUAACAGACGGAAACGACUGAUAAGACCUGGUAAAGUCGGGCGGACUCAUGUCCAGCCUGAUGAAAAGAGAUGCUGCAGGAGAGCCUUGCGUCCUAUUAGCUUGUUGGUGGGGUAACGGCCCACCAAGGCGAUGAUAGGUAGCCGGCCUGAGAGGGUGGACGGCCACAAGGGGACUGAGAUACGGCCCUUACUCCUACGGGAGGCAGCAGUGGGGAAUAUUGGACAAUGGGGGCAACCCUGAUCCAGCAAUUCUGUGUGCACGAUGAAGGUUUUCGGAUUGUAAAGUGCUUUCAGCAGGGAAGAAAAAAAUGACGGUACCUGCAGAAGAAGCGACGGCUAAAUACGUG
rnacentral:rRNA from 1 species